rnacentral:rRNA from 1 species
UAGGGAAUCUUCCGCAAUGGACGCAAGUCUGACGGAGCAACGCCGCGUGAGUGAAGAAGGUUUUCGGAUCGUAAAGCUCUGUUGUUAAGGAAGAACGAGUGUGAGAAUGGAAAGUUCAUACUGUGACGGUACUUAACCAGAAAGGGACGGCUAACUACGUGCCAGCAGCCGCGGUAAUACGUAGGUCCCGAGCGUUAUCCGGAAUUAUUGGGCGUAAAGCGCGCGUAGGCGGUUUUUUAAGUCUGAUGUGAAAGCCCACGGCUCAACCGUGGAGGGUCAUUGGAAACUGGAAAACUUGAGUGCAGAAGAGGAAAGUGGAAUUCCAUGUGUAGCGGUGAAAUGCGCAGAGAUAUGGAGGAACACCAGUGGCGAAGGCGACUUUCUGGUCUGUAACUGACGCUGAUGUGCGAAAGCGUGGGGAUCAAACAGG